GGGCUUUGGAAGAGUUGUGCGACACAAUGAAUCGAUGACGCAAUUCGUUGCCAACGCUUUUAGUAAUCGAUUUUCAUCGAAUUUAUCGAUUCGUUGUUGCAGCCCUACUACUCAUUUCACAGUUCAACUAAAUAUAAAAAUUAAACUGUCAAACUAGUCCUACUCAAACAACAAGUGUUUAGACAUUUUUGCUGUCCAGAUUUUUAAAUAAUGUUCAGAUUUCAGUUUUCAUCUGUUUAGGAUUGUUUUCUCCGUUCUUCACUUUUUGUGCUUUAUUUACAUUUUGGUGCUUUUUGCUUCUAAAUCUUUAAAUACAUUCAGCUCAUUUGAACAGUUUUGCUUAGUUUCAGCUUCACUUCAGCUAUUCAGCAGCUUCAGCCAUUAGUUUCUGAAUUCAGCAUAUGAUGCUAAUUUCACAGUUCAGCUAAAUGUAAAAAUUAAACUGUUAAACUAGUCCUACUGAAAUUUACAGGUGUUUAGACAUUUUAGCUGUCCAAUUUUUUUAAAUAGUGUUCACAGAUUUGAGUUUUCUGCUCUUUAGGAUUAGUUUUCUUGAUUCUUCACUGACUUGUUGUGCUUUUUUUGCUUCUUGAUGCUUUUUGCUUUCACAUCUUUCACUACAUUCAGCUCAUUUGACAGUUUAGCUUAGUUUCAGCUUACUUCAGCUAUUCAACAACUUCAGCAAUCAGUUACCAAAUUUAGCAUAAAUGCUAAUUUCACAGUUCACCUAAAUGUAAAGAUUAAACUACUAAGCUUGGCAAACUGAAUUAACAGGUGUUUAGACAUUUUAGCUGUCCAGAUUUUUAUUUAAUGAUCACAGAUUUAAGUUUGUUUGCUGUUUAGCAUUAUUUUUCACUAUUCUUCACUUACUUUUUGUGCUUUAUUUGCUUGUUGGUGCUUUUUGCUUCUACAUCUUUCAAGACAUUCAGCUCAUUUUGACAAUUUUGCUUAAAGAGCAAGUAACGUCUAAAUUAACUUUUUUUUCUGAAGAACUGUAUAAAUGAGUGUCUUAUAGUGUUUUAAAUGUGUGUGUAUUCAUUAUUUUAGCAUUUUGUGCAUUUUCUUUAAAAAUUAAAAAUUCUGCCUAAAUACCACAGUAUAGCUCCACCUUCAGCUUAAAACAUAGUAUUUGACUCAUUUUGAAUAAAUUUUAUCCAAUGGCUAAAGAGUAAGAUACUACGUAAACCAGUAGAGUACUACGUAGCAGCUCUGUGUCAAAGUUAUAAAGCAUCGAGAGUCUCGGCCACGCCUUGUGGCGAGUUGGGAGUUGGAUUUGCAAGCCAGUGUAGGAGGUCAGUGGUAGUUCGGCAUUAGCAUAUAGCGUUAGCAUAUCCUAGUCUUUAGCAUAGCUUUUAGUGUUAUAAAUACUUAUUUAGUGUUAGUUUGGCUGUUGGAUAUUGUAGUUUAGUUAGUGUUUGGCUGUUAGUGUAAAUAGGAAAGUAGUUCGGGUUUAGUGCUCCAUAUCAUGUUAGUAUGGUGAGAAGGUGUAGUGUAGUAUGGUUGCGGUGGCUCUGUGGGGUUGCACUCCCUUCCGCUGGACUUAGAAAUUAGGCACCAGUGGUUGAGCGCAAUCGGUGUCUGGAAAACAUUCAGCUCCCGCCUGGUGCUGUAGUUUGCACCCAGCAUUUUACCCGCGAUUCUGCACGUCUCCGUUUGAAGAGGGAGGCUGUGCCCACCGUGGCUCUUCCGCGAUUUAGAUGCAGCCCACCGACUCUGCUCCCCCAUCACGGCAGGCUCCAGUCUGAGGUGAGUCAGCUAAAUAACAGUUUUGACAUCUUCUAAAGACAAUUCCCUACCUAAAUGCAAAGUCUGUGCGACGUGGUUCACUUCCUUUAGCUCGUCAGUCGGUAAUUCUGCAACAGUGGCUCUAACUGACGCAGCACUAGUUGACACACAGCAUUACAGUGUGAAAUCCAGCUUGUGACCCGGUUCUGUAAGGAAUUCUGUUCAGGAGGUCGCAUUUCAGGCUCUCCACAUCAUGUGUGAGUGACUUUUACGUUAUAACAACGAUCACACACUAGGAAUGUUAUAAAGCGCCUAUAUAGGACAGUUUCUUUUGUAUAUUAUCUGACUUUAUAAACUCCAACAACAAUGUGCUUCAAUUUUUUUUUCAGGCUAAAUCUACCCAAGACACUGGCUGUCAGACUGAUUUAGCUGCAAGAAUGCACUUGUCCAGGCUGACGUGAAGCCUUACCGGCGUAGCAAAGGGACCAUGACGGAAAAUCAUCUUCCAGAAGGUCCCAGAGCAGCGUCCACACCCUGAAAAGACCAAGAUGUGAGGUGUCUGCUGUUGAUUCCAGCUUCCACCUCAGUGACAGUGCAAGCUCAGUGAACUGUUCAAGGAGGCUACUGAUUCUGGCCCUGUGACACUUGGUGGUGACAUGUGAGCUGAUUCACCUGGACACUCAGCAAAAUAUGGACUCUACACCAUGAGGCAGGCACACGUUAAUAUUCUAUAAGAGCACAUAAGCCUGGCUGAUCACCUGAUAACUCCUGUCAUCUGGUUGUGACAGCAUGAGGAUGUCCUCACACACCUGUAACCUAUCAGCUCAUCUGGCAGAAUAGAGAGAAGAGACAACACCACAUCUCCUGUUCCUGGAAAGCCUUCAGCCAUCCUUCGAUGACUGAGAACCUCCAUCAGCUCUGUCUCCUGUCUGCCUACAAUUAUUAUAAUAAAUAUUGUGUUUGACAAGUUUUUUGUGCUGCCAAAUAUCUCAUAUAGAUUCCAGUUUUGAUAUUUUAAUGGACAUUUAUAAAUAACAUUAAUUGAAUUACCACAUUGUUGCAUGUUUAAAUAGCUCUAUUGUGAUGAAUUAAACUAGCACCUCACUGUUAAAAACUCGUUUUAAUUUCAAGCAUGUUUAAGUAUUUAUGGACAUGAACAAAAACAGGAAAUAUAUCAAUUGAGAUUUAUUUAAUUAAUAUAACAAAUAAGGGGGAAAGAGUCAUUGAAAGGCACAUUCUUCCGGAAGCUCCUGAUCCUGACGACACCAGCAGAGGAGACCAGCUGCAGACACCAGAAGAUCACCUACAACCAAGAAAGCAGCUGUUAUCAGUAAAUAAAUAAUGAAAUCAGGACAGUUUUAGUGGGCUGAACACAUUACAGAAUAAUUUUCUCACGGGAUAUUUUCAUAACUUUAUGCAGCAGACUAGCUUGAGCCCAGGGCUCCUGGACAGCUGCUAUCCAGCACGUUUCAGUGGUUUUCCUGCUUUAACAGGUUAGAUUAGCUGUUAAGCAGCUCAGCUAUUUGUUGCUGAUUAAAACCAGGUGUGUUGAAGCAGAUAAACCUCUAAAACAUGCUGAAUACUAGCUCUCUAGGGCCGUGGAGCUAAUCGGAUGCUAUGGCUAACGGCUACUUACCAUUCAGAGCUGGUUCUGUUGGGUCGGUUCCAGUAGUUUCAGGCAACUCACAAGCUCAAAACAAUAAGGCUCAGGUCCGCUUGUCUCCUCCAAAUAGACUUGGUCCCUUUCUUCUCGAGUGUCUGGGUAAGGAGGGGGAGAAACGUCCCCCACUUCUAAUAACUGCUCAGAGUGAAGGGAGCUAGCAUCGUCUAGUUAGCCAUCGUCUUCGUCACUGCCGCGGCUCCGCCCUCUCGGUCCUCCAGGCAACGCCUACUAAUGUUGCAGUUUUUAAAAUUGAUACGUGGGUGGAGAAGGACUCUGAGGGGGGAAUUACCACCUCUUUAAUUUCAGCUUCAGUUCAGCUGUUCAGCAGCUUCAGCUUACAGUUUCAGCAAUCCAGCAUUCAAACAGCAUUUGUGCAAUAAGGACUCUUUCUUUUUAAUAAAUCAAAGAACUCUAUUUUUAAUAAAGCUAAUCAAACAAAGUGUUAGUCAGUAAUAUAAUGCUGACCAAUCUGUGAAAUGACAAUGUUAUGAUUAGUAAGUUUAAUGAGUAAUAUGACUUUAGUCUAGCUGCACUAGACAUCUUGAUCCACGUAAUGUAAACGCAUGGCACAUUGCUCUUUCUCAUCCAAUCAUAAGCAUGGCAUAGUCUCUGUGGUGUUUAUAAAUCUGUCCAACUUCGAUUCGACCAUAAAUCAAAACAUCCAGAUGAAUAAAACCAGUCCCCACGCCAUCUUAGUUCAGUUCACUGCAUUCUAAGAGAAGUAUCGGACCGGCCACCUGGACUUCCUUUUUAAGCAAAGAACCAACAAGCUGGAUAAAAUCUGUUGCAUUUUACCAACCAAACAACGGUUCCUUUCAGAAUAAAAGCUGAACUCACUGACCCCAAGGGGGAUCCAUCUGACGCUGUCAACCAACUGUCGCUUUUUACCUGGAGACAAUCCAAAGACUAGUCUGUCGUACUGCUGACGCUGUUUCAUCGGCUCCGGUACCGAAGGGGGGUCCGAGGACCUGGCAUUCUGGAUCUGUACAGAGGUCUCAUCCUGAAGGGUAUGUGUGGAGCGACAACAUGGCGUCUUAUGUGUUUAUGAAACUCCGAUCAUAGCUUAAGAGCAAAACAUCAUUUCAUCAUUCAGACUUGCUUCUCCGGAUACGAGAGUUCUGAUGACAACAUCACUCACACAUACACCAUUCAUCUCACGUCUCAUUCACACCAAGAUCCAUCCAUUCACUUAGAAUUUAGAGUUAGUCUUGUUUAAAAUUGUUUAGAAAUAAAUCUUCUUAAACGUUUUAAAGGUGACUCUCUUCUGUUGUCUCUCAGUUAAUACGAAGUGGUACAUAAUCCCUGCAAUAAAAAGUUCCAAUCUUCUGGUUAAAACUACCCAAAGAUCCAUAAGAUUGAUUUCAUAUUUACUAUGGAAUCUCAUGUCUUAUGGUUCAUUAAAUAAUAUUAAAUUAACCCUUUACAGAGCUAAGGCGGUGGCUGAACAGAGAGGCAGGAAGCAAACGCCGAACGUGCCGCAGCAGGCGAGAUUUAAAAAAUUGUUUAUAAAAUAAGGUCUAUUUUAUUUGUCGGUGUUGUCGUGACGAGUUGACUAAUCAUGGCAGCCCUAGACAUCUUGCUGCGGCUGCCUCUUGCUCUCUUUUGGUUUGAGAGGGGAGGGCCUGGUGACGUAGCGUGCCUGAGUCUGUGGUUUUGAUUGGUUAGGAGUAAGUAGAGUCUAGUAUGCUGCUACCUGAUAGGUUAUAAUGAAAAAAGGAAACUUUAACGAAGUUUUACUGACCAGUUUCAAAUCAAAUCAAAGAUACUUUAUUAAUCCCAGAGGGAAAUUAGAGUUUUUUACCUAUCGCAACACAUGUCUAUCGAUAGAUAUAUUGAACUAUUGAAUUAUCGUCCAGCCCUACCUUAUCGACUUCCUUUGUCUUCAUUCUUCUCUUGGGCUGGAAAGGAAAACAGUUUAGAAGCAAAUGAAUGAGACCUUGAGGCAAUAUCUCAUGCAGAUUAGUUCCUGCUGAGGAGAGGGGGAAAAUGACUUUUAGGUGGAAAACAGUUAUUUAAUUUCGUUACAGCUCCGAGGCGCAUGCACAGUGGUGGCCAUCCAGCUCAGCCUUCAUCAUCGGAGAAAGUGUCGAGUCGCAACAUAUCUGAAAAGUUUGGGAGCAUUAUACUAAUUCAAAAGAAAACCACUUAGUGCAAACUCUGCAAAGCGAAACUCUCCUUUCACAGUAGCACAUCAGCGAUGCACGAGCAUCUUAAGGGAAGUACAGAGUCGCCUCAGUCACCUCCGCGUGUUUGAAUUUGCCCCUCUUUUAUGUUGAUUUUAUUUCCCUGUUUUCAUUGGUCUCUUUAUCCUUUGUUUUACCCAUUUGUCUUCUACUUUAAUGUUUUACCUUUUUUGCACUAUUCGAAUUGCUUUUAUUUUUGAUUUCUUCAUCAUGUUUCACAUUUCUCAUGUACCAUGUUCAGCGCCUUGGAAGGCGCUUUAUAAAAAAACCUUUGAUUGAUUGAUUGAUUGAUUGACUGAAGUUUACCUCUUGUUAGCUGCUAACAUCAACAGAGUUACUUGUAUUUAUAGCUGCAUCAACACCAGUAGAGACAGUGAUGUUGUUACCUUUAGAACAUGUUUGUAUGUCACUUAUUUUUGCUCCAAUUACAAACACUAAUGAUUUAUCUCAUCCCGCUCCAUUAAAGUGGAGUUUACAGACAUAUAAAUGACAACAACCAUCUACAGUCAGGUCCAUAAAUAUUGGGACAUUGACACAAUGCUAACAUUUUUGGCUUUAUUCACCACCACAAUGGAUAUCAAAUUAAAUGAACAAGAUGUGCUUUAACUGUAGACUGCCAGCUUUUAUUUGAGGGUAUUUACUGUAAUGAGUUAAUUUACAUGUUAUUUAAUGAGCCAUAAGACAUAGGAUUCCAUAGGAAAUAUGAAAUCAACCUUAUGAAUCUGUGGGUACUGUUUAACCAGAAGAUUGGAACUUUUUAUUGCAGGCAUUAGAUAACCUCGUAUUCAGAGACAACAGAAGAGUGAGAGUCAGGUUUUGAAAGUUUAAAGAUGUAUUACUUAACAAAUUGAAACUAGACUAACUUAAACACUAAAUGUAUGGUGUAACUAAGGUGAAUGAAACGGAGAAUGAUGUAGUGUGGAAUGUUGCUCAGAACCAGCAAAUCCGAAGAAGCGAUUAGUUCUGAUGGGAAGUGAGGGUGAUCUCUUUGCACUAAGCUUUGGUUAGGAGAUUCAUAAACACAUUCAACGCCAUUUCGUUGGCCUACAUACCCUUUUGGAAGUCCCCGUUAGAUUAGGAAUGUCGAGGUCCGCCUGGACCCUCUCUGGAACCGAAGCCGGUAGGAAAAGCAGCGUUUGCCGACCAGACCAGUCUUGAGAUACUUCCAGGUCACAACAGUUUUGUUGGCAUCUAGCGAGACCCAAACCUGGGUCGUGAUGGUUCAGCUUUUAUUCUGAAAAGAACCGUUGCAGCAGUUGGAACAGCAACAGAUUUUAUCCAGCUUGUCAUUGAUUCUUUCGACUGAAGAGGAAAGUUAUGGAUUGGCCACUCCGACAACUUCUCUAGAACGCGUUGAACUGGCGUUAAAGAUGACAUGGGCAUAGUUUUAUAAUUUGGAUGUUUUGAUUUAUGGUCGAAUGAAAAGAUGACAGAUUUACCAAACACCACCAAAACCACGCCUCCGUCAGAUCUGGCAGAUUCUGAUUGAAUCAGUAAACGCAAUGUGUCACUAUGUGAGAUCAGUCCUAGUGGAAACAUUUAAAGUGUAUAUUCUAUAGGAUUAUAAUAAAGUAAUUAAUAUUUUUAUUUCACAGAUUGGUCACAUCUUAUUAUUGACUAACACUUUGACUAGCUUUAUUAAAAAUAGAGUUCUUUGAUUUAUUAAAAGGAGAGAGUCCAUUCUUCAUUCUUCUCUUGAGCUGGAAAGAAGCAGUUUAUAAGCAAAUGCAUGAGACCUUGAGGCCAUAUCUCAUGCAGACUAGUUCUGUGUCAGAGGAGAGGGGGAAAAUGACUUUUGGUGUAAAACUUUGUAGGAAUUACAAUAGUAUGCAUAUGUGCCUCCCACUUGUUAAGGGGAGGCACAUAGUGCCCGAAAGAACCGGGUGUGACCGAAAGUGACCGAAAGAACGAGAUCGCAGAUACAAGCGACCGAAAUGAGUUUUCUCUACAAAGUGGCUGGACUCUCCCUUAGAGAUGGGGUGAGAAGCUCAGUCAUCUGGGAGGGGCUUAGAGGAGAUUUGCUGUUCCUUCAGAUUGAGAGGAGCCAGUUGAGAUGGCUCGGACAUCUGGUCAGGAUGCCUCCUGGAUGCCUCCCUAGUGAGGUUUUUCGGGCACGUCCAACAGGGAGGAGACCCAAAGAAAGACCCAGAACACGUUGGAGGGACCAUGUUAAUCCAGCUGGCCAGGGAACACCUUGGGAUUCCCCCGGAAGAGCUGGCCCAAGUGGCUGGGCAGAAUGAAGUCUGGGCCUCUUGAUUUUGGCUGCUGCCCUCACGACCCGACUCCGGAUAAGCGGAUGAAAAUGGAUGGAUGGAUGGAUGGAUGGAUGGAUGGAGUAAAAAUUGAGACAAGGACAUCUGUAGCAUCUUCAUUGUAUUCCAUGCAUGAAGCUGAAGCAGAGGGCAGUUCGGAAGGCUUCCCUUAAAUGAGACCAAGUUCACUCAUUUCAUUUUUGGUCUCUAGUAUACACGGAUGCCUUGUGAUUCGAUGUCUGUGGGUAAAAAAGAUCUCGUGCUCCUUUUUCAGGAAGUAGAAGUUAGCGGGAGCAGAAAACAGCAGGACGUGGCAUCUGAAGCCGGGCGUACACUGUGCGACUUUUUCACUCGCAGCGUUCAGCUUCAGCUCAAACUGUACGACUUCCUCGCAGAGCAGAUCUCACGAGUCAUGUGCUCACACUGUACGACCCAGUUCUUGCAUGCGACCUGAAUGCUCACACUGUACGAGUGCCGCAGCUAAAAAUUAGCCAGUAGAUGACGCAACACGUUGGAAUUACAAACACGAAGAAGAAAACCCCGGAAGUAAACACGAGGGAAAACGAAAACAACACGUUCGGUUCCGAGCAGAAUAGCGCUUGCAUGCUCGCUGUUAACCGCAAUAAUGCCCGUCAAAACAAGACGUUUGUCUUUGGCUCUUCUUGCCAUCAUGUGUGUAGAUGAAAAGAAAAAGAGAAGACGAAUGUGGACAAAGAAAUGGCUGGGCAGACGUUGCCAGUAUGGUUUGUCAAAUCUACAGCAGGAAUUGGAGGUAAGAUGUUUGAAAUUGUCUUUUCCUUAUGUAACUACAAUUGUAUCUAUGGACUUAAAUUACAUUUUGACCAGCUGAUGGACUUUGGGGUGGUGGGUGGAGUGACAACCACCAUUUGUAAUGCUGUUGCAUUGGUGUGUGAAAUAGAUCGAUGAUAUGAAGGGGUUUCGGGACCUUCUCCGCAUGUCUGUGGAAGAAUUCAACGACCUUCUGGAGAGAGUGACCCCUCAAAUCAUCAAGAGAGACACACACACCUGAGGAAGGCGAUCAGUCCUAGGGAGAGGCUCUCUGUGACACUGAGAUUCCUUGCAACAG